rnacentral:rRNA from 1 species
GCUUGUUGGCGGGGUAACGGCCCACCAAGGCAACGAUCAGUAGGGGUUCUGAGAGGAAGGUCCCCCACAUUGGAACUGAGACACGGUCCAAACUCCUACGGGAGGCAGCAGUGAGGAAUAUUGGUCAAUGGGCGAGAGCCUGAACCAGCCAAGUAGCGUGCAGGACGACGGCCCUAUGGGUUGUAAACUGCUUUUAUAAGGGAAUAAAGUGAGUCUCGUGAGACUUUUUGCAAGUACCUUAUGAAUAAGGACCGGCUAAUUCCGUGCCAGCAGCCGCGGUAAUACGGAAGGUCCGGGCGUUAUCCGGAUUUAUUGGGUUUAAAGGGAGCGUAGGCCGGAGAUUAAGCGUGUUGUGAAAUGUAGACGCUCAACGUCUGCACUGCAGCGCGAACUGGUUUCCUUGAGUACGCACAAAGUGGGCGGAAUUCGUGGUGUAGCGGUGAAAUGCUUAGAUAUCACGAAGAACUCCGAUUGCGAAGGCAGCUCACUGGAGCGCAACUGACGCUGAAGCUCGAAAGUGCGGGUAUCGAACAGGAUUAGAUACCCUGGUAGUCCGCACGGUAAACGAUGGAUGCCCGCUGUUGGUCUGAAUAGGUCAGCGGCCAAGCGAAAGCAUUAAGCAUCCCACCUGGGGAGUACGCCGGCAACGGUGAAACUCAAAGGAAUUGACGGGGGCCCGCACAAGCGGAGGAACAUGUGGUUUAAUUCGAUGAUACGCGAGGAACCUUACCCGGGCUUGAAUUGCAGAGGAAGGAUUCGGAGACAAUGACGCCCUUCGGGGCCUCUGUGAAGGUGCUGCAUGGUUGUCGUCAGCUCGUGCCGUGAGGUGUCGGCUUAAGUGCCAUAACGAGCGCAACCCCUCUCCUUAGUUGCCAUCAGGUCAUGCUGGGCACUCUGGGGACACUGCCACCGUAAGGUGUGAGGAAGGUGGGGAUGACGUCAAAUCAGCACGGCCCUUACGUCCGGGGCUACACACGUGUUACAAUGGCAGGUACAGAGAGACGGACCCUUGCAAAAGGGAUCAAAUCCUCAAAGCCUGUCUCAGUUCGGACUGGGGUCUGCAACCCGACCCCACGAAGCUGGAUUCGCUAGUAAUCGCGCAUCAGCCAUGGCGCGGUGAAUACGUUCCCGGGCCUUGUACACACCGCCCGUCAAGCCAUGAAAGCCGGGGGCGCCUAAAGUCCGUGACCGUAAGGAGCGGCCUAGGGCGAAACUGGUAAUUGGGGCUAAGUCGUAACAAGGUA